GAUGAACGCUGGCGGCGUGCCUAAUACAUGCAAGUCGAGCGAACAGACGAGGAGCUUGCUCCUCUGACGUUAGCGGCGGACGGGUGAGUAACACGUGGAUAACCUACCUAUAAGACUGGGAUAACUUCGGGAAACCGGAGCUAAUACCGGAUAAUAUAUUGAACCGCAUGGUUCAAUAGUGAAAGACGGUUUUGCUGUCACUUAUAGAUGGAUCCGCGCCGCAUUAGCUAGUUGGUAAGGUAACGGCUUACCAAGGCAACGAUGCGUAGCCGACCUGAGAGGGUGAUCGGCCACACUGGAACUGGAACACGGUCCAGACUCCUACGGGAGGCAGCAGUAGGGAAUCUUCCGCAAUGGGCGAAAGCCUGACGGAGCAACGCCGCGUGAGUGAUGAAGGUCUUCGGAUCGUAAAACUCUGUUAUUAGGGAAGAACAAAUGUGUAAGUAACUAUGCACGUCUUGACGGUACCUAAUCAGAAAGCCACGGCUAACUACGU
rnacentral:rRNA from 1 species